rnacentral:rRNA from 1 species
AUUGAACGCUGGCGGCAUGCUUUACACAUGCAAGUCGGACGGCAGCGGGGGUGCUUGCACCUGCCGGCGAGUGGCGAACGGGUGAGUAACAUAUUGGAAUGUACCGAGUAGUGGGGGAUAACCAAUCGAAAGAUUGGCUAAUACCGCAUACGUCCUGAGGGGGAAAGCAGGGGAUCUUCGGACCUUGCGCUAUUUGAGCAGCCAAUAUCUGAUUAGCUAGUUGGUGGGGUAAAGGCCCACCAAGGCGACGAUCAGUAGCGGGUCUGAGAGGAUGAUCCGCCACACUGGGACUGAGACACGGCCCAGACUCCUACGGGAGGCAGCAGUGGGGAAUUUUGGACAAUGGGGGCAACCCUGAUCCAGCCAUGCCGCGUGUCUGAAGAAGGCCUUCGGGUUGUAAAGGACUUUUGUUAGGGAAGAAAAGGGAAGUGCUAAUACCACUUUUUGCUGACGGUACCUAAAGAAUAAGCACCGGCUAACUACGUGCCAGCAGCCGCGGUAAUACGUAGGGUGCGAGCGUUAAUCGGAAUUACUGGGCGUAAAGCGAGCGCAGACGGCUACUUAAGCAGGAUGUGAAAUCCCCGGGCUCAACCUGGGAACUGCGUUCUGAACUGGGUAGCUAGAGUAUGUCAGAGGGGGGUAGAAUUCCACGUGUAGCAGUGAAAUGCGUAGAGAUGUGGAGGAAUACCGAUGGCGAAGGCAGCCCCCUGGGAUAAUACUGACGUUCAUGCUCGAAAGCGUGGGUAGCAAACAGG